GGCUCUUGGCGGUGGAUCACUCGGCUCGUGAGUCGAUGAAGGACGCAGCUAGCUGCGUGAUUUAGUGUGAAUUGCAGGACACAUUGAGC
rnacentral:rRNA from 1 species